rnacentral:rRNA from 1 species
GAGUUUGAUCCUGGCUCAGGAUGAACGCUGGCGGUGCGCCUAACACAUGCAAGUCGAACGAAGGAUUGUGAAGGAACUUUACGGAGGGAAAACAUAAUGACUGAGUGGCGGACGGGUGAGUAACGCGUAGGGAACCUGGCCCUUACAGGGGGAUAACAGAUGGAAACAACUGCUAAUACCGCAUAAGCGCCCAGCCUCGCAUGAGGCAGAGUGAAAAACUAAGGUGGUAAGGGAUGGCCCUGCGUCCGAUUAGCUAGUUGGUAUGGUAACGGCAUACCAAGGCGACGAUCGGUAGCCGGCCUGAGGGGGUGGACGGCCACAUUGGGACUGAGACACGGCCCAAACUCCUACGGGAGGCAGCAGUGGGGGAUAUUGCACAAUGGGGGAAACCCUGAUGCAGCGACACCGCGUGGGUGAAGAAGCGCUUCGGCGUGUAAAGCCCUAUCAGUGGGGAAGAAAAAGGACGGUACCCAAAGAAGAAGCACCGGCUAAAUACGUGCCAGCAGCCGCGGUAAUACGUAUGGUGCAAGCGUUAUCCGGAAUGACUGGGUGUAAAGGGAGCGUAGACGGUUGUACAAGUCUGAUGUGAAAGCCCACGGCUCAACUGUGGGAGUGCAUUGGAAACUGUAGAACUAGAGUAUCGGAGAGGCAAGUGGAAUUCCUAGUGUAGCGGUGAAAUGCGUAGAUAUUAGGAGGAACACCAGUGGCGAAGGCGGCUUGCUGGACGAAAACUGACGUU